UACGUAGGGGGCGAGCGUUGUCCGGAUUCAUUGGGCGUAAAGAGCUCGUAGGCGGUUCAGUAAGUCGGGUGUGAAAUCUCCGUGCUCAACACGGAGCGGCCACCUGAUACUGCUGUGACUCGAGUCCGGUAGGGGAGUGUGGAAUUCCCGGUGUAGCGGUGAAAUGCGCAGAUAUCAGGAGGAACACCGGUGGCGAAGGCGGAUCUCUGGGCCAUAACUGACGCUGAGGAGCGAAAGCAUGGGGAGCGAACAGG
rnacentral:rRNA from 1 species